GAUCCGGAGGCCUAGUGGUUAGCGCGUCCGCCUCAGAUGCGGGUGGUUGUGGGUUCCAUCUCUGGCCGAGUCA